rnacentral:lncRNA from 1 species
AACCUGCUUUACUGAUGUAAUGCUCCUUACAUCUUACUUUUUUUUUUUUUUUAACUGCAGGGUUGGAUUUUUUAAGAAUGAGAAGGAAGCUGCAAACAAUUUAUGCAGACACCGCUACAAGCUGCAGCAGCAAUCACAAUAUACAACGACCUGUAAGAAAGCCAUGGACUGGAAGGUUGCAUAA